GUAGGGGGCAAGCGUUGUUCGGAAUUACUGGGCGUAAAGGGCGCGUAGGCGGCACAGCAAGUCGGGAGUGAAAGCCCGGGGCUCAACCCCGGAACGGCUUUCGAAACUGCUGAGCUAGAGUGCGGAAGGGGCAAUCGGAAUUCCCAGUGUAGCGGUGAAAUGCGUAGAUAUUGGGAAGAACACCUGAGGCGAAGGCGGGUUGCUGGGCCGACACUGACGCUGAGGCGCGAAAGCCAGGGGAGCAAACGGGAUUAGAUACCCCGGUAGUCCUGGCCCUAAACGAUGGAUACUUGGUGUGUGGGGUUCUCUGAGUCCCCGCGUGCCGGAGCUAACGCGGUAAGUAUCCCGCCUGGGGAGUACGGUCGCAAGGCUG
rnacentral:rRNA from 1 species